rnacentral:rRNA from 1 species
GCGCAAUCUCAACGCCUGAUUCAGCGUNCCCGCGUGAGUGAUGAAGGCCUUCGGGUCGUAAACUCUGUCGCCGGGGAAGAAGGUGCGAGAGUGCCCUC